CUACGGCCAUAUCAUGUUGAAACACCGGUUCUCGUACGAUUAACGAAGUUAAGCAACAUCGAAAGCCUGGUCAAUACCGAGAUGGGUGACUGCAUAGGAAUACCAGGUG